AAUCUCGUAAAGAGUAUAUGGCGGAUGCCUAGACAUAAGAAACCGAUGAAGGACGUAGCAGCCUGCGAUAAGCUGCGGUGAGGUGGCAAGCAACCUUUGACCCGCAGAUCUCCGAAUGGGGAAACCCGCUCCGUUGUUGACGGAGUAACCGAGACCUCUUUUGGACUCGGUGGAAGACCCGGCGAACUGAAACAUCUUAGUAGCCGGAGGAAAAGAAAACAAUAGUGAUUCUCCUAGUAGUGGCGAGCGAACGGGGAAGAGCCUAAACCUGCCGAACUGAGAUUUCAAGCUAGUUUACUAGUAAGGAAUCAGAAAGUUCUAGAGCUAUAUGUUCCGCAGGGGUUGCAAGGCAACGUGUCUGUCCUCUAGAUUGGACGGAGUAGAGUCAUAAAAUUUAAUUCUUAGCAAAAUCGAGCUGGAAAGCUCAGCCAGAGAAGGUGAUAGCCCUGUAAGCGAAAAGAAUUAAGUCUCUGCAGCGUUGUUCUUAAGUAGUGCGGGCCUCGUGAAAUCCCGUAUGAAUCAGGGUCGACUAUGACCCAAGGCUAAAUAUUUCUUAUGAUCGAUAGUGAACCAGUACCGUGAGGGAAAGGUGAAAAGCAUCCCGAGAGGGAGGUGAAAUAGUACCUGAAACCAUAUACUUACAAAGAGUCGGAGCCCAGUUUACUGGGUGACGGCGUGCCUAUUGAAGAAUGAGCCAACGAGUUUGUUCUAUGUGGCUUACAUAAUCUCCUCCGGAGAGUAUGUGUAGUGAAAGCGAGGGUUAAUAGCCCGCAUUGUGCUUCACUUUUACGCAUUAAAUUUAUUUAGUGCGUUAAGGUGAAGUACACGUCGCAUGGACAAGACCCGAAGCCGGGUGAUCUAACCAUGUCCAGGUUGAACUUUGUCGAAAGACAAAGGAAGGACCGAACCCACGAGCCGUGCAACACUCGGGGAUGAGAUGUGGUUAGCGCAGAAAUUGUAAUCGAACUCGGCAAUAGCUGGUUCUCCUCGAAAUAGUUUUUGGACUAGCCUCGAGCGCUGACAGUGGGGGGUAGAGCACUGGAUGAGGGCGGGUCGCAAGAUACCGUCUUCAAUCAAACUCCGAAUACCCAUUGGUGUAGCUCGGGAGUCAGACCAUGGGCGCUAAGGUUCAUUGGUCUAAAGGGAAACAGCCCAGAUCACAAUCUAAGGUCCCCAAAUCUAUACUAAGUGUAAAAGGUGGUGUUGUGACUACGACAGUUAGGAGGUUGGCUUAGAAGCAGCCAUCCUUUAAAGAUAGCGUAAUAGCUCACUAAUCAAGUUGUUUCGCGCCGAAAAUUUACCGGGGCUAAGUAUAGUACCGAAGAUGUGAACUCUUAAUUUACUUUAAGAGUGGUAGAGGAGCAUUCUCUUCAGCGUUGAAGUCGUGCCGUGAGGCCCGGUGGAGCGGAGAGAAGUGAGAAUGUUGGCAUGAGUAGCAAAAAGGCGGGUUAAAAUCCCGCCCACCGAAAGUCUAAGGUUUCCUGGGCAACGAGAAUCGACCCAGGGUUAGUCGGUCCUAAGGUGUAACUAAUGUAGUGUUAGUGUAACCGAUGGAAGAGCUGGUUAAUAUUCCAGUACUACUGUGUUUUUCCGAAGGAGGGACGCGGUUCCAAAGUUUGAGCGGGCUAUGGUAUGUCCGCUGGUGGUUUCAAGAAGCGGCCUAGGCAAAUCCGGGCCAACAGCUUCAAGAUUCAGCCUAAAGAUGAAGUCGCAAGACGGAUUCAAUCAAGUAGCGGAAUCGACGAGAAAAACUUCUAGGGCUAAGGGCACAGUAACCGUACCGUAAACCGACACAGGUAGACGAGGCGAGAAGCCUAAGGUGUACGAGAGAACCUUCGCUAAGGAACUCGGCAAAACAGCGGCCGUAAUUUCGAGAUAAGGCCUGCCCUGCGCAAGCAGGGCCGCAGCUAAAGAGCUCAAGGGACUGUUUAUCAAAAACACAGCUCUCUGCUAACUCGCAAGAGGAUGUAUAGAGGGUGAAGCCUGGCCAGUGUCCGAACGUUAAGAGGAGAGGUUAGCACUUCGGUGCGAAGCUUUGAAUCCAAGCGCGGAUGAACGCCGGCGAUAACUAUAAUCGUCCUAAGGUAGCGAAAUUCCUUGUCGGGUAAGUUCCGACCUGCACGAAUGGCUUAACCACUUGAGCACUGUCUCAGCGAAGGACUCGGUGAAAUUGCAAGACGAGUAAAGAUGCUCGUUAACCACAGUCGGACGAAAAGACCCCGUGAAGCUUUACUACAGCUUGAUAUUGAAUUAGGGAUAUGCAUGUUCAGAAUAGGUGGGAGCCUUCGGGCGCCAGUGAGAUACCACCCUUGUAUAUUUUUAAUUCUAACCUCGUUUUACGAGGGACAGUGUCUGGUGGGUAGUUUGUCUGGGGCGGAUGCCUCCCAAAAUGUAACGGAGGCGUUUACAAAGGUUGGCUAUCCCGGAAUGGAAACCCGGGAGAUAGUGUAAAGGCACAAGCCAGCUUUACUGCGAGACUUACCGGUCAAGCAGUCGCGAAAGCGGAACUUAGUGAUCCGACCAUUCAAUAUAGGAUGGUGGAAGCUCAUCGGAUAAAAGCUACUCCGGGGAUAACAGGCUAGUCAGGUCCAAGAGUCCACAUCGACGACCUGGUUCGGCACCUCGAUGUC
rnacentral:rRNA from 1 species